ACGGUACCCGCAGAAUAAGCACCGGCUAACUACGUGCCAGCAGCCGCGGUAAUACGUAGGGUGCAAGCGUUAAUCGGAAUUACUGGGCGUAAAGCGUGCGCAGGCGGUUUCGUAAGACAGAUGUGAAAGCCCCGGGCUCAACCUGGGAAGUGCAUUUGUGACUGCGAGACUAGAGUGUGUCAGAGGGAGGUGGAAUUCCACGUGUAGCAGUGAAAUGCGUAGAGAUGUGGAGGAACACCGAUGGCGAAGGCAGCCUCCUGGGAUAACACUGACGCUCAUGCACGAAAGCGUGGGGAGCAAACAGGAUUAGAUACCCUGGUAGUCCACGCCCUAAACGAUGUCUACUAGUUGUCGGGGAUUCGUUUCCUUGGUAACGCAGCUAACGCGUGAAGUAGACCGCCUGGGGAGUACGGCCGCAAGGUUAAAACUCAAAGGAAUUGACGGGGACCCGCACAAGCGGUGGAUGAUGUGGAUUAAUUCGAUGCAACGCGAAAAACCUUACCUACGCUUGACAUGCCAGGAACCUCGCAGAGAUGUGAGGGUGCCCGAAAG
rnacentral:rRNA from 1 species